CAUGAGGCACUGUGUGGAUUGUAAAAUCCAGUCUCAUUUUGCCACUCCCUUUGGCUUUUUCUUUUAGCUCAUCUUUAAAUCAUAUCCUACAGUGGUCCUGUCUGUCUGAUCUUGGUGAAACAAUUGCAAAUAUCUGGCCCAUUCAUUUUGUCUAGAGUUAGUGCAGAAGAAUUCUGUGUAAAUUUAUUCAGAAGUGACAAGAGGGCUGAGGAUUUAGCUCAGUGGUUCCGCCACCUGUCUCACAAGCGCAGGGUCCCAAGUUUGAUCCCUGGUACCAAAAAAAGAAGUGACAAGAGCAGAUAAUUAUGUUUGAUCACUAUAUUUUCAAGAUAAAAUUCAGAAUACAGGUCUGAUGUAUUAUGUGUCUAAUACUUUUUCUUUACCUUCAUUGGUUAGAAUCAAACAUUUCAAACCCUAGAACAAGAUAUGGAUAGGGAAAUCUAAGUAAAUCUGCGGACCUAAGAGCCAAAACACGGGGUUGGAGCUAGAACUCAGCACAGCACUGGCUAACCAUGCUCAAGACUUUGGGUUCAAGCCCUAGCACUGAAAAAAAGAUUAAGCCAAAGCAUUUGAAAUGACAUAAAGCCUUAGAUGUGCCCCAUCGUAUUCCAUUUACUCCUUUAACUCCAUUGCCUCCAGUUCACUCAACUCUGACCACAACUAAACUACCUGAUGGUCUUAAACACAGUGGUGUGAUGAUAAAUGUUUUCAAUGAGCACUCCAGAGUAAAAGUCCUGAAUUUUAGUUGACUUCCAUGUUAUAUGUACUACCAUGGAAAAUUUCAAGCAACUGAUGUCACAGAUUGUAGAGUUGUAGAGAUUUAUAGUAGCCCACCAUUAUAUACUACUUCAUGUACGUACCAUUGAUAUAAAAAACCUCAAGGGCACAGAUAAUAAGGAUAAUAUAAUUAAGAAGUUAUGAAUUUUGAGUAUUACCUUUCUUUUAAAUGAUUUGAUAGUGAAUUUAUAUAUGUUAAUUUUAAAAAUAAUGUCUGGGGCCUAAACAUGUAGCUCAAUGGCACAGCACCUGCCUGGCAAGUGAAAGGUCCUGAGUUCCAUCCCCAGUACCGAAAAUAAAAUAAAUAAAUAAAAUAAUUACUGUUUGAGGACCAGCUUGCAAAAUUCUUGAAUAUUUAACCCCCAGGAUCAAGGAUGAGCUAGUCCUAGCCCUUCACUGUAAGUAAUACUGUAUCAAAUCUGCCCCUGACCCAAGGGUUUUGGUUUUCCAUCUUCAUGGAAAACUCUUCUCAAAUCCUUGUGGGAACAUUCUUUCACCUCCUUUAAAAACUGUUCUAUUAGGUACUCUGAUUUUUGUUUGUUUGUUUGUUUUUAGCCUCACUAAGUAGUGGCCUCAAAAUCACAGUGAUCCUCUUGCCUUGGCCACUGGAGUGCUGGGGUUGCAGGGAUCGAACUCGGGACCUUGCGCUUGUGAGGCAGGCACUUGAACCACUAAGCUAAAUCCCCGACCCCAUGACUGUAUUUCUUUGGAGAAAGAUGAUUGGCUGCAGAGGAGAAUUGAGUACAAGAAUGGAGAGAGAUAAGAGAUGAGAGAAUAAUUAGCAGGUGCCAUGAACUGUUUCUCCUCUGCGACAUCCCUCUGCCAUGUGCCACUCUGUCUUGGAGCCAGCUGAUUAUGGACUGAAACCUCUACAAACUUCUCUUCCCAACAGGAUCUACAUUCUACGACAGUAGACUUCCGUCUGUUUUGCUCACUGUAUCCUGUGUAUAGCACAGUGCCUGGCUCAGAGUAGAUUCGACAAAUAUUUGUUGAAGGAAUGAAUGAAUAUAUGAGUGAAAAGCCACUCAGCUGAUAAAUGGUGGAGGGAUACAUGCCAAACUAUUUAUAGAAGAUGUGACAAGGAAUCUGAGAUUUUCCUCAACAUAAUGCUGGAAGUGAGGAGUGAAUGGAGGAAUGGCAAACCAGCUUCUAGAAAGACCUGCAACAACCCUUGUCACCCAUGGUGGACUUGGCACCAGGAUGACCAGCUCUGGGGACAGCACCUUGGUGUCAGCCAACAUUACUCCUGGCCCAGUGGUACUCACAGUACCGGCAGCUCCUGAGAACUUGGAACUUUGGGGUUGGCAGGCACACUAUAGGCCCCAGUUCCACAUCGAGAAUCCAGAAAACCUGCAUUCUUAUUAAUCUGCCUUUCUUCACAUGUCUUCUUUGAAGAAUUCCCGUGUGUGUGUGUGUUUGCCAUAUAUGAGACAGAUUUUACA
rnacentral:lncRNA from 1 species